UACGGAGGGUGCGAGCGUUGUCCGGAAUCACUGGGCGUAAAGGGCGCGUAGGCGGCAUGCCAAGCGUGCGGUGAAAGCCCGGGGCUCAACCCCGGGUCGGCCGUGCGGACUGGCGUGCUCGAGCACUGUAGGGGCGGGUGGAAUUCCGGGUGUAGCGGUGGAAUGCGUAGAGAUCCGGAAGAACACCGGUGGCGAAGGCGGCCCGCUGGGCAGGAAGGCUCGCAAGAGCCGGCUGACGCUGAGGCGCGACAGCGUGGGGAGCAAACAGG
rnacentral:rRNA from 1 species